GACGAACGCUGGCGGCGUGCCUAAUACAUGCAAGUAGAACGCACAGUUUAUACCGUAGCUUGCUACACCAUAGACUGUGAGUUGCGAACGGGUGAGUAACGCGUAGGUAACCUGCCUGGUAGCGGGGGAUAACUAUUGGAAACGAUAGCUAAUACCGCAUAAUAUUAAUUAUUGCAUGAUAAUUAAUUGAAAGGUGCAAUUGCACCACUACCAGAUGGACCUGCGUUGUAUUAGCUAGUAGGUGAGGUAACGGCUCACCUAGGCGACGAUACAUAGCCGACCUGAGAGGGUGAUCGGCCACACUGGGACUGAGACACGGCCCAGACUCCUACGGGAGGCAGCAGUAGGGAAUCUUCGGCAAUGGACGAAAGUCUGACCGAGCAACGCCGCGUGAGUGAAGAAGGUUGUCGGAUCGGAAAGCUCUGUUGUAAGAGAAGAACGGGUGUGAGAGUGGAAAGUUCACACUGUGACGGUAUCUUACCAGAAAGGGACGGCUAACUACGUG
rnacentral:rRNA from 1 species